ACAUUUUAAUAUUAUUUAAUGUAAAGAGAUUUCAAAAGUUAUAAAGUAUAUUAAAAACAGGAGAUAAUAUUUAUAUAAUAUUUUUAAGUGUUAAAGAUAUUGUUACCUUACAAUACUUAUUUCCACUUGUUCACAUAUAAGUUUGUAGCAUGACCUCAGUAGUGCAUUGUUAUGAUGAAUGAAGAAUGGCGGACGUUGUCAUUUUACGAUAUUUGUUCACAUUUCUAUUGAUAAAUGCUUGUUACGCGGGUCUACCCGGUUUGGAAGAAGAUGGAGUGUCGGGCAGCACUCAGGGACCUGACAAUCAGCUAUUGGAUGACCCUAUCUCCAUACAAAAGAUGAUGGUACAGCAACCCAGAUAUAAAUGCCAUCAAUGCGAGGAGCCGGAGUGCGGCUCGGGCCCGCACGAGGUGUGCCACGAGGCGCUGUACUGCUUCAAGUCGUCGGUGCGGGACUCGGACGGGGAGCUGCGGUACACCAGGGGGUGCUCCACGCAGACCGCGCACUACCAGUUCACUUGUAGGACUAAUACGCCUCAGCAGAGCCUCCGCAAGCGUCACGCGGGCUUCCACAACGUGACGUGCUGCCAGGGCGACCUGUGCAACGCGGGCAAGUUCCCCGAGCUGCCGCCGCUGCCCGACACCGCCAUCGAGCCGCUGCCCACCAACGCCUGGAAGCUGUGGGCCAGCGUCGCCGCCUCCGUGCUCAUCGUCAGCGCUAUCGGCGCCAUGGCUAUAUUUGUGCUGCGGAGGAGUCACAGAUUACGUGUAUCUCGCGCGGCGCUACACAAGCUGGGCGCGGACUCCAAUUACUUCUCGUCCAAUAUGUACAGUCCACAUGUCACCAGUGCCUACUAUGAAGGCAUGGAAGGCUCCCAAACCGGAGUAGGAGUGCGAGCGACGGCGGCCGGCGACUCCACGCUGCGGGAGUACCUGGAGUGCUCGGUGACGAGCGGCUCGGGCUCCGGCUUGCCGCUCAUGGUGCAGAGGACUCUUGCCAAGCAGGUCUCGCUGUGCCACUGUGUUGGGAAGGGUCGUUACGGCGAGGUGUGGCGCGGCUCGUGGUACGCGGACAGCGUGGCGGUGAAGAUCUUCUUCUCGCGCGACGAGGCCAGCUGGCGCCGCGAGACCGAGAUAUACUCCACCGUGCUGCUCAGACAUGAUAAUAUACUGGCUUAUAUCGGCAGUGAUAUGACUAGUAGGGGUAGUUGCACGCAGUUAUGGCUGAUCACCCACUUUCACCCGCUGGGCUCGUUGUACGAGCACUUGAACAGGACGACGUUGACACGUAAUCAGAUGAUGGCCAUUUGUCUGUCGGCCGUCAACGGGCUGCUGCAUCUACACACUGAGAUACAUGGUACACAGGGCAAGCCAGCUAUAGCACACCGGGACAUCAAAAGCAAGAACAUCCUGGUGAAAGUGAACGGCGACGUGUGUAUAGCAGACCUCGGGCUGGCCGUGACCCGGGCACACGUGGCGGCCGGCGUCUCGCACAACCCGCGCCAGGGCACCAAGCGGUACAUGAGCCCAGAGAUGCUGGACCAGAGCAUAAACACUCAAUGCUUCGAGUCGUUCCUGAAGUGCGACAUCUACGCGCUCGGGCUCGUGCUGUGGGAGACCGCCCGCCGCGUGGCGCCCGCGCACGAGCACCGGCCCCCCUACUACGAGCUCGCCGCGCCUGAUCCUAGCUUCGAUGAUAUGAGGAAGAUCGUCUGUGUUGACGCCGCCAGGCCCGAGCCGCCUGAUGAUCCGCAUCCAACGAUGGUAGGCAUGGCGGCACUGAUGCGCGAGUGCUGGCACCAGAACCCGUCGGUGCGUCUGCCGGCGCUGCGCAUCAAGAAGACGCUGCUCAAGCUCGCCGCCAACGACAACAGCAUACGCCUCAACGAGGACAACGAGGUCUCCGUCUAAAUGUUCUGGAGUGUUCCAGGAACUUCUAGAACGUUCCGGAAACUUUCGGAAAAUUCUAGAAUGAGUCUCUAACCAAUAUUCUUAAGAAAGACUCAUAGAAUGAGGUGUAAUUUUAAAAUAUCAAAUACACCCUAAAAAAAAAUGGUUAUUAGUUUGGUGAAACUGCGUGAUAGAAAAAGGUACACACUAAAGACUAUUUUCUUAGACUUAAUUUGCUGUUUUGGCUUGACAAAUCUUGAUUUAAUUUUGUAUUUGUGACAAUUUUCUAAUUCUGUUAUCAGUAACUAUAUAAAUCAUGCUUAGAAAAUAACAAUAUUUUGUUGGACAAUAUGUUCUGUUCAAACCACAACAGAUAUGGUCCAGCAGUUUCAGAUUAACAAACACACAGACAGUUGAAGCGUAUGUCCACGAUAGCUUUUCUUAAAAGUAAACAUAAUGCUUAUUAUUUAUAGCAUAGUAUCGAGUUAAUGAGACUUCUGCGUCGGCAGUCAUAGAAUACUAAAACGUAGUGGUUUAUACAUGGGACUUGAUAUUAUAUGGGGUAUCAAAAUCAAAAAUAGUUUAUUCAGGUAGACUGAAAAACAGCACUUUUCGAAAGUCAGAAUUACAUGAGAAUAUAUACCUACGGACUUAUAAUUAUGUAAUUGAUAAUGUGCUUCAGGCAUGCACAGACCGGCAAAAAGUGAGGAACUAAUCACCUCACAGCACCUGUAGGCUCCUGGUUGAAAAAAAAAACUUCUCUAUAAAGAGAUUCUUAAUUCGAAUGUUUUUCUUUAUAAUAAAUUGCAUUAAUGACAUAGCAAUAAUUUAAAAACACUCUUAAAACCUUAAACUUGCUGGAUCUUUAGUGCUCUUUAUAAAAUUAAAUGAAUCUUCAUACAAUAUCAAGUCUCUAAUUAGUUACUUAAUCGUGAAGUGCCGAAUAGUAUUUGUAAUUAGAUGUAAAUGUAAAAAUAUAUAAUAAUACUGUAAAUAUUUAAUUUUUUAAGUUUUUUUUUACUCAUACUAAUUAAUUUUAUUGCUGUGGACUUUGAUAUGUUUGUUGAGAAUCUCGUUAAUUUUAAUUUUGAAUUUUGCAUCCGUUUUUAUAAAACCAACAACCUAUCUUGAACAUUCGGAAAAAUACUUCUAUGUAUAUCAAUUUGAGAAUAUAAUAAAGUCACAUUAUUACAGCUAUUUAAGUAGACAAAUAAUAUCAAAAUCCACAAAUAUACUAAUGUUCUAAUAUACCAAACGCCACUUCUAAAUACUUACAUAUUUCCCUCAUCACAUAAUCAUGACAAAACGACAGAAAUACAUUAUAUUUUAGUAUCGUUUGAGUAUUAGAACAUUACAGUACAUCUGACGUAGCUUUGCGCGUCUGAAGGUUAGCUAAUAAGCUGCGCAGUAGACAAUCUUCUUAAAAUGUCGACUGCGCAGCGUAACAGCCAACUUCGCACUCGCAAAGAUACGUCAUUCGUAUUUUAUUCUAAGUUUAGCAAAAUUCAGCGAUAGUUCGCUUCGAGCCGACGAUGGCUUUAACAAAAUUGAGUUGCCAUAUCAUAUAUGUAUUGUAAACACCGAGUUAUUUAGCAUUUUCUAUAUAUAAGUUAAUGUAGUUCAUUGUGUGACUACUUUAUAUAAAUUGUUGGUUAAAUGACGAAAUUAUUGCACUUGUAAAUGUUGUUCAAGAGAAUAAACUUUUACACUAGUGAUUUUAGGGAAACAAUUAUUUUUAAACAUGAAAAAUUAGCAUUUUGUUAAAAAUUUAAACUUCAAAAGUAUUUGAACGACAUUUACGAGUUAAAGAAAGCUUUAUGAAAAGAAAAAUUCUAAGAAUCUCUUGUUUGUAUGAUAGAGAAGAAAGUUAACAAUAACUCACUUGUUGACGUACACUGUAGUUGUAAUGAAUUAGUUUGUAAGUGUGUACCGCUCAGUUAUAAGUAUGGUAGGAUUAAUCUGUGAAUACAAGCGUGGUAUAGCAUGUGACUGAAAUAUUGCGUAAACUUUGUUAUCAUAUAACUCUUACAGUUGUUUAAAAGAGUGCACUUGUUUUCUUUCAAUGUUUUUUUUUUCAAACUCAAAUGAUUUAGUUAUUUACUUUACAAGCACUUGUGGAUGUCAAAAAUAUAUAAGAAAAGUUGAGACACAAUAUUACAUGCACAAUAUUGCAUUCAGUUCCUGUCGUUUAUUGCCAUAUAAAAUAUAAGAUUUUAUAUUAGACUGUAGCGGAGAAAGUGCGUCCAAUUAAAAGUGCCACUUUUACCGCGAUAUCUUAUAGCUACGAUACCACGUUUGUUUCAUACAUUUUGUCUUUCCGUACUUAUAACUGAGCGGUUUGUAUGUUAAGGUUUACAGAAACAGGCAUUUAAUUCCGUUCCUUUACGAAAUACUCAAAAAGACAAUAAGUAUCCAGUGUUAGAGCUAUCCAUGGUUUUGAUCAAAAUAGAAAAUUUUCAAUGAUGGCUUUAAUACUUACCGUUUUUUAUUUCAGAUUGUAUAAUUUCAGUAGAAUUGCAGUUCAUAAGAUAUGCCAUAAAUAAAGUCAAAAAGAGUUAAAUGUGUAGUCCCAAAAUUAUUAACUGAAAUGCAAAUCUACUGAAAUUGUACAACAAACCUGUAAAAUAACUCAAGGAUUUAUUUCAGAAAACGUACAGAUAUUUAUUUGUUUUUAGAUAAAGUUUAAUUUACACAAAUAAGUAGAUUGUACCAGUUGAGAGUUCUGUGCGAAUAUUGUGUUCAGUUAUUGUAAAUAUGUAGCGGUAAUAAGCCUUAUGAUAGACGCGACGCGUCACAGUUAUGAAGAGAAAUACAUAUUUGUCUAUUA
rnacentral:misc_RNA from 1 species